GAUGAACGCUGGCGGCGUGCCUAAUACAUGCAAGUCGAGCGAACAGACGAGGAGCUUGCUCCUCUGACGUUAGCGGCGGACGGGUGAGUAACACGUGGAUAACCUACCUAUAAGACUGGGAUAACUUCGGGAAACCGGAGCUAAUACCGGAUAAUAUAUUGAACCGCAUGGUUCAAUAGUGAAAGACGGUUUUGCUGUCACUUAUAGAUGGAUCCGCGCCGCAUUAGCUAGUUGGUAAGGUAACGGCUUACCAAGGCAACGAUGCGUAGCCGACCUGAGAGGGUGAUCGGCCACACUGGAACGGAGACACGGUCCAGGGUCCUGCGGGAGGGAGCAGUAGGGAAUCUUCCGCAAUGGGGGGAAGCCUGACGGAGCAACGCCGCGUGAGUUAUGAAGGUCUUCGGAUCGGAAAACUCUUUUAUUAGGGAAGAACAAAUGUGUAAGUAACUAUGCACGUCUUGACGGUACCUAAUCAGAAAGCCACGGCUAACUACGUG
rnacentral:rRNA from 1 species